rnacentral:rRNA from 1 species
AGCGGUAAGGCCCUUCGGGGUACACGAGCGGCGAACGGGUGAGUAACACGUGGGUGAUCUGCCUCGCACUUCGGGAUAAGCCUGGGAAACUGGGUCUAAUACCGGAUAUGACCUUCCAGUGCAUGCUGGUGGGUGGAAAGAUUUAUCGGUGCGAGAUGGGCCCGCGGCCUAUCAGCUUGUUGGCGGGGUAACGGCCCACCAAGGCGACGACGGGUAGCCGACCUGAGAGGGUGACCGGCCACACUGGGACUGAGACACGGCCCAGACUCCUACGGGAGGCAGCAGUGGGGAAUAUUGCACAAUGGGCGAAAGCCUGAUGCAGCGACGCCGCGUGAGGGAUGACGGCCUUCGGGUUGUAAACCUCUUUCGACAGGGACGAAGCGAAAGUGACGGUACCUGUAGAAGAAGCACCGGCCAACUACGUGCCAGCAGCCGCGGUAAUACGUAGGGUGCGAGCGUUGUCCGGAAUUACUGGGCGUAAAGAGCUUGUAGGCGGUCUGUCGCGUCUUCUGUGAAAACUUGGGGCUCAACCUUAAGCUUGCAGGCGAUACGGGCAGACUAGAGUACUUCAGGGGAGACUGGAAUUCCUGGUGUAGCGGUGAAAUGCGCAGAUAUCAGGAGGAACACCGGUGGCGAAGGCGGGUCUCUGGGAAGUAACUGACGCUGAGAAGCGAAAGCGUGGGUAGCGAACAGGAUUAGAUACCCUGGUAGUCCACGCCGUAAACGGUGGGUACUAGGUGUGGGUUUCCUUCCACGGGAUCCGUGCCGUAGCUAACGCAUUAAGUACCCCGCCUGGGGAGUACGGCCGCAAGG